rnacentral:rRNA from 1 species
GACGAACGCUGGCGGCGUGCUUAACACAUGCAAGUCGAACGGAGUGGCGAACGGGUGAGUAACACGUGGGUGAUCCGCCUUGCACUUCGGGAUAAGCUUGGGAAACUGGGUCUAAUACCGGAUAGUGCAAGAUGAGCUCGCGGCUUAUCAGCUUGUUGGGGGGGUAAUGGCCUACCAAGGCGUCGACUGAUAGCCGGCCUGUGAGGGUGUACGGCCACAUAGGGACUGGGAUACGGCCCAGACGCCUACUGGGGGAAGCAGUGGGGAAUAUUGCACGAUGGGCGGAAGCCUGAUGCAGCGACGCCGCGUGGGGGAGGAAGGCCUUCUGGUUGUAAACUCCUUUCGACAGGGACGCGGUACCUGGAUAAGAAGCGCCGGCUAACUACGUGCCAGCAGCCGCGGUAAUUC